rnacentral:rRNA from 1 species
GACGAACGCUGGCGGCGUGCCUAAUACAUGCAAGUCGAGCGCGGGAAACUGACGGAACUCUUCGGAGGGAAGGCAGUGGAAUGAGCGGCGGACGGGUGAGUAACACGUAAGGAACCUGCCUCAAGGAUUGGGAUAACUCCGAGAAAUCGGAGCUAAUACCGGAUAGUUCAUCGGACAGCAUGGUCCGUUGAUGAAAGGCGCUCCGGCGUCACCUUGAGAUGGCCUUGCGGUGCAUUAGCUAGUUGGUGGGGUAAAGGCCCACGAAGGCGACGAUGCAUAGCCGACCUGAGAGGGUGAUCGGCCACACUGGGACUGAGACACGGCCCAGACUCCUACGGGAGGCAGCAGUAGGGAAUCUUCCACAAUGGACGAAAGUCUGAUGGAGCAACGCCGCGUGAGUGAUGAAGGUUUUCGGAUCGUAAAACUCUGUUGUAAGGGAAGAACACGUACGAGAGGGAAUGCUCGUACCUUGACGGUACCUUACGAGAAAGCCACGGCUAACUACGUGCCAGCAGCCGCCGUAA